rnacentral:rRNA from 1 species
AGGACGGGACCCCAGUAGAAAGGGACGGCUAACUACGUGCCAGCAGCCGCGGUAAAACGUAGGUCCCGAGCGUUGUUCGGAUUCACUGGGUGUAAAGGGCGCGUAGGUGGUUGUCUGUGUCUCAUGUGAAAACUCAGGGCUCAACUCUGAGAUUGCGUGGGAAACUAGGCAGCUAGAGGACGGUAGAGGGGAGUGGAAUUCCCGGUGUAGCGGUAAAAUGCGUAGAUAUCGGGAGGAACACCGGUGGCGAAGGCGGCUCUCUGGGCCGAUCCUGACGCUGAGGCGCGAAAGCUAGGGGAGCGAACCGGAUUAGAUACCCGGGUAGUCCUAGCCGUAAACGAUGGGUGCUAGGUGUUGGGGGGUAAAGACCCUUCAGUGCCGAAGCCAACGCGAUAAGCAUCCCACCUGGGGAGUACGGCCGCAAGGUUGAAACUCAAAGGAAUUGACGGA